ensembl:lncRNA
AUGUGGUGUAAUCACAACCCAAAUUGGCUAAACAAGGGAAGAGAAUCUAUUGUAUAUGACAGUGAAAGUCAAAGGAUUUGUUGUUGUAUUUCAGUGGCUCAGUCAUGUCCCACUCUUUGUAAUCCCAUUAACUGCAGCACGCCAGGCUUCUCUGUCCAUCACUAUCUCCCUGAGUUUUCUCAAACUCAUGCCCAUAAAGGAUUAGGUAGGACAAAGCUAGACUCAAGUUCACAAACAGCAUCUCCAAUAAUCUUGUCUGUGUAAGCUAUGUCUGUGUUUUUCCUCUGUGACAUUAUAUUUUCAGGCAAGCACUCCCUAAGUCAUGACAAGACGGCAGAUUUCCAUCUUACCAGUUUAGCAAUCCCAGCUAGAAGCAAGAGCCUCUCAGAGCCUCUUAAUUCCCUACGCUCCUGCACAAUUGACAUUGUCUUAUCAGCCAACCUUAACUCAUUAGCUCCACUGUGAACCCAUGUAGACAUGAGCAAAGACAUAGGUAGGAAGCAGGGAGCAACAGUGUCCUUGAGUCACAAAUUCUCCGUCUUCAGAAUUGAAGUCACUUUAAUCACAUGGACUGCCAAAGGCAGAGGCGGGGAUUUCCAGAGGAAGACCAAGGUUCUGUUUUAAGAAGAAAGAAGGUGAAUUCUCUGGUGAUCCAGUGAUUAGGACUACACACUUUCACUGUCGAGAGUGUCAGAUCGAUAGAGAAGUAAGGUCCCUGCUGCACCGUGUGAACCCCUUCCCCCCCAAAAAAAAAGAAGGAAAAGAAGAAAUGUGGGUGCCAAUCAGGAGACAGGUAGAGAGAGCAGCAGGCGUACUCAUAGUAGAGCUCGGAAGGGGAGGUUAACACUGUCGUUCAACUGAGCAUUCUUAGAAGGAUGGGAGAUCUUAGGAUCUAGUAACUUGUUCAGCCAUCUUCAUUUUCUCCCUUAAGUGUAGAACUGUUCUACACAAACCAUAGCUGUGAGGAAACGGGGAUGGUAGCAGUGGCAGUUAUGCCAACAAAGCUCUCAAGGUGAGCUAGGACGCAGCAGAGCCACACCACUCAUUCAUGCUGGCCAGUGAGCAAGGUCAGUGUUCAGCAUGGAACAGUGACCUUAGACUCUGCAGGCAUGUUACCUUGUAUUAAUCAAAUCUCAAAGAUACCCUUACAAUUACAGAAUAAAGUGGAAUUUAGGAAAUUGAGCUGACUCCACUGAAUUCAUGAUUGCAUUGAUUUAUGGCUUGUGCAUAUAAAAGCGGCAUUCAGGACACAUUAAAAACAAGAAAUAAUUUGCUUAUCCUGAUGAGUUUCAUAUCACUGAUGCUUUUAAAUUUUUCUAAAACUAACUCUGGGGCUGACCUGAAUUAAAUAAUGGAAAGCAGUACAUUAUUAAAGGAAAAACAAUCCUUUUUUAUUUGUUCCUGAAAGUAAAUGAUUUUAAUUUAACAAGUUCCAGAAGUCAUGUUAUAGAUAAUUCUACAGAUAAAGAGUUGAUUCUUGACAUGUCUCAUCCUUUUGGCUGCUGUUGUAAGUAAGCUGAAAUUCUACUCUUCCUUGGUAUUUAUUCAGGUCCCUACUUUGGGUUGGGUCUGGGAACCAUUACAGCUAAUACUUUUCAUUGUUUGAGCAACUAACUGUUAAUGCCCAAGGCAGAUAGACAGUCAUUUCUUAAAUAUUUUCUCAUAAAUGAAUUGGGAAAUUUUUUUUACUCUUAUUCCUAUUUUAUCUGAGAAGUAAC